rnacentral:rRNA from 1 species
UACAGAGGUCCCAAGCGUUGUUCGGAUUCAUUGGGCGUAAAGGGUGCGUAGGCUGCGCAGCAAGUUGGGUGUGAAAUCCCUCGGCUUAACCGAGGAACUGCGCCCAAAACUGCUGUGCUCGAGGGAGAUAGAGGUGAGCGGAACUUAGGGUGGAGCGGUGAAAUGCGUUGAUAUCCUAAGGAACACCGGUGGCGAAAGCGGCUCACUGGAUCUCUUCUGACGCUGAGGCACGAAAGCUAGGGUAGCGAACGGG